GCCGGUUAGCUGAGCAGAGUUCGGAAGUGCUACGCCUCCAAACUGGCGCAUGCGCUCUAAAACGGGAUUGGACGGUGCUGAUGGUAGCUGGUCGUAGUAAAUCCUGCUUCCACCUAAUACGUGGCGGGCUUAAGAGAGCCCAAGGUUUUCCUCCAGUCCGUAUCUUCAUAAUAACUCUGCAAGUUAGGCUGAGUCAUUGACUGGCCCAAAGUGAGCGUCACACCUGAGUGGGGACUCCCAGUAUAACACUAAGAUCAGUUGUCAAGUAACAACCACCCAAACUACAUCUCCUUAUGAACAACCACCCAAGGAAGAACAGCAGAUGGUCCAGUUGCUGAAACAAAGAGUUGCUUUCAUUCUUAAUUUUGCUUCUUCCGCUUUUUUCAUUAGGAACUCUCUAAUGGAACAUUUGACCUUUCCAAAGAUGAAAACAUAAAUAAAAUGUUCUUGACA